CUGCAAAGAGGCAGUCUCUGGCUGAUGCAGGACAGACAGAAUACACACCAUUAACAAAGCGCCGUAGAGGAGGAGAGGUUGAGUUGUCCAACAUAUUGGAGAGCAUACUCGAUAGCUUGAGGGAAAAUAUCGAAAUAUCAUAUCUUUUCCUUAAACCUGUGACAAAGAAAGAAGCCCCUGACUACCUUGACAUCAUAAAGCGCCCGAUGGACCUUUCCAUGAUCAGAGAGAAGGUAAGAAACAUGGUAUAAGAGCCGAGAAGACUUCAGGCAUGAUGUUUGGCAGAUCACUUAUAAUGCCCAUAAGUACAAUGAUGGUCGAAACCCUGGCAUUCCCCUGCUUGCUGACCAGCUCUUGGAACUCUGUGAUUACUACUUGGAAGAGAAGCAUCACAUGUUGAGCGAUGUUGAGGGUGGAAUUGAGUUCAGGGAUAUUUAGAAAUAAUUCAUUGUGAUCAUCUAAUCUGAAGCAACUGUGAUCCACUCUGGUCGGAAGCAAUUGGUAUGUGAUCAAAUGUGGAACAAAAUUCAGUUCUUCUCUAUUAUGUGGUCUUCGGUGCAAACAUUUGAUCUGGUCCAUGAUGGAUUGAGGGGCGUAAUUUUUUCCUGUUCCCUUGUACACAGAGGGGUUUCUGAAUUGUGUAAUUGGAAAUGUCAUUUUUGGCCGUGUUAAGGCACCAAAGUAGACAUGACGCAUGGCAUUGUACAUAUUUUUGGUACCAGUGUAGGGCCCCAGGGCACUUUGUAUUCAAUACUUUGUAUCAGAAUUGCCUACGUAUCCUUUGGUAGAACUUUAGUAACCCAAUAUCACAGGAAGGUGGAAUACCACUAUUUUGACUGGCUACUCUGGUGAAAGCAAAUGUUGUGUCCAAAUAAAUUUUGGCUUGUAGGAU